rnacentral:rRNA from 1 species
UCGGUUGAUUACUAAGAUGGAAGCGGAGCAGGGGAGAGUAACGCGUGGAUACGUACCCUCAGGCCCGGGAUAGCUGCGGGAAACUGCAGGUAAUACCGGAUAACAUCUUCGGAUCAAAGGUGUGAUUCCACCUGAGGAGCGGUCCGCGUCCUAUUAGCUUGUUGGUGGGGUAACGGCCUACCAAGGCAAUGAUGGGUACCGGGUGUGAGAGCAUGGCCCGGCUCACUGGGACUGAGACACUGCCCAGACACCUACGGGUGGCUGCAGUCGAGAAUCUUCCGCAAUGGGCGAAAGCCUGACGGAGCGACGCCGCGUGCGGGAUGAAGGCCUUCGGGUUGUAAACCGCUGUCAGAGGGGAGUAAGUGAAGGGGGUUAUCCCCUGGAUCUGAACCAUCCUCAGAGGAAGGACGGGCUAAGUUCGUGCCAGCAGCCGCGGUAAGACGAACCGUCCAAACGUUAUUCGGAAUCACUGGGCUUAAAGGGUGCGUAGGCGGCCCUGCAAGUUGGGUGUGAAAUCCCACGGCUCAACCGUGGAAUUGCGCCCAAAACUGCAGGACUUGAGGGAGACAGAGGUGAGCGGAACUUAUGGUGGAGCGGUGAAAUGCGUUGAUAUCAUAAGGAACACCGGUGGCGAAAGGCGGCUCACUGGGUCUCUUCUGACGCUGAGGCACGAAAGCUAGGGUAGCGAACAGGAUUAGAUACCCUGGUAGUCCUAGCUGUAAAACGAUGAGCACUAGGCUGGAGGCUCC